rnacentral:misc_RNA from 1 species
AAAAAAGUAGAAAGAUGAAGGUUUCUGGUGCUAACAAUAAGAUCCUGCCACUUCUGGUUUUUGUGCUGGUAGUGACAGGUUUAGUGGAGCAAGGGAAAGGGCAUGCUUGUCCAAAUACUUUCUUCUCAGCACUUGUUCAAAUGAUACCUUGCAGGGCAGCAGUUGCUCCCUAUAGCCCAAUUCCACCAAGUGACGCUUGUUGCAAUGCUGUAAAAUCUCUUGGCCAACCUUGCCUUUGUGUGCUUGUAAAUGGCCCUCCAAUUUCUGGUGUUGAUAGGAACAUGGCCUUGCAGCUGCCUGACAAGUGCACUGCCAACUUUGAACCAUGUCAAAUUACGAAGAAGUAGGUGCACAGAGCUGCCUGAGUUAAUUUCUAUGGAGAGUAGUAAUGAUGCUAGUAAUAAGAGGAUCAAAGUUAAAAUUAUAUAUAUACUGAAACCACUGGUUUUAGCCUUAGAUUUGUUUUUUU